rnacentral:rRNA from 1 species
UGGGGAAUUUUGGACAAUGGGCGAAAGCCUGAUCCAGCAAUGCCGCGUGUGUGAAGAAGGCCUUCGGGUUGUAAAGCACUUUUGUCCGGAAAGAAAUCCUUGGCUCUAAUACAGUCGGGGGAUGACGGUACCGGAAGAAUAAGCACCGGCUAACUACGUGCCAGCAGCCGCGGUAAUACGUAGGGUGCAAGCGUUAAUCGGAAUUACUGGGCGUAAAGCGUGCGCAGGCGGUUUGCUAAGACCGAUGUGAAAUCCCCGGGCUCAACCUGGGAACUGCAUUGGUGACGUGGCAGGCUAGAGUAUGGCAGAGGGGGGUAGAAUUCCACGUGUAGCAGUCGAAAUGCGUAGAGAUGUGGAGGAAUACCGAUGGCGAAGGCAGCCCCUGGGCCAAUACUGACGCUCAUGCACGAAA